CCUACGGGAGGCAGCAGUGAGGAAUAUUGGUCAAUGGACGAGAGUCUGAACCAGCCAAGUAGCGUGAAGGAUGACUGCCCUAUGGGUUGUAAACUUCUUUUAUAUGGGAAUAAAAUGUUCCACGUGUGGGAUUUUGUAUGUACCAUAUGAAUAAGGAUCGGCUAACUCCGUGCCAGCAGCCGCGGUAAUACGGAGGAUCCGAGCGUUAUCCGGAUUUAUUGGGUUUAAAGGGAGCGUAGGUGGAUUGUUAAGUCAGUUGUGAAAGUUUGCGGCUCAACCGUAAAAUUGCAGUUGAAACUGGCAGUCUUGAGUACAGUAGAGGUGGGCGGAAUUCGUGGUGUAGCGGUGAAAUGCUUAGAUAUCACGAAGAACUCCGAUUGCGAAGGCAGCUCACUGGACUGCAACUGACACUGAGGCUCGAAAGCGUGGGUAGCAAACAGGAUUAGAUACCCCAGUAGUC
rnacentral:rRNA from 1 species